UUAAAAAGCAGAAGAAAAUGUAUCUUAAAAAGGAGAAUGGUACAUCUUAUGUUCUGUUUGAAUUUUUCAGGGCAUAUAUGGUAUAUUAUCGAUCAUCCAAUUUAUUUUAUUAUAGAUUUUGUUUGACAAUCAUAGUUAAUUAAUUGAUUUCUUUUUUAUGAUUAGUAGAUAGUAGUUAAUGAUUUUUUUUAUUUGGUAGAGUGUACAUCCG
rnacentral:lncRNA from 1 species